rnacentral:lncRNA from 1 species
ACUGAGAUGCAUGGAUGCCUGCUCACAAAGGCCAAGUCAAUACUGGUAAAUACAACUGGUGGCUUGAGAGGAUCCAGGCACUUCUGAUGAAUGAGCAAGAGCAUAGGACAGAACUAUUGUGUGAGAAGUCUACCUUUCAGAAUCCCUUGCUUCUGGCCUGAAAAUGAAAGCAUGCAGCUCCUGGUGAAGUGUCAGACACAUCCAACUAUCUUUCAAUUCAGGAUAACUUGCUAAUGCAAGUACUGCCUAUUAUGUGUGAAGAGCCUAUAACCACUUACAAAUGCACCUAUUUCUGGAAGUGGAGACAAAUUUUUCUGACUGGAGAGAUGUGCUCCCAUCUGCAAAUAUUCAGUUUAUCUGCAAAUAUUUCAGUGGCAAAGGUUCUUGCUAUGCUUAGCUGCACGUGUAGAGCUGAAAAAAUCAGAAGAAAUAGAUUGUUACAGAAACCUCAGUUCCUGUCUUUCCUUGUCUGGCUAAGGUGAAAGGAAGAACUCUCUAAAAUUAGUGAAGAUCACCCAAGGAUGGAGAGCCAUUCCUCUUCACUUAAGUGGCUGUGAACAGUGAGAGCUGAACAUGGUGACAGGGGGAAUGUCAGGCACAUAUACAAAUGUUAUAGCUUUGAUUUGCUAUGUGGGCAACUGUAAGUACAUGACACUGUUGGAUGUUGGAAGAGAGAGUCAGGCAGUGGCUAAAAUUUAUAUGAAAAUGUUAAAAAAUAUUUAUUUUUCCUGGACAUGAUCUAAUGUGUUUUUUUUUUUUUGUUGUUGUUGCUUUUGUUUGUUUGUUUGUUUGUUUUGUAAAGAUAGAGAUUGUUUAUGAGGAUUUUUAAUAUUUCAUGUAUUUUUCCAAGAUGUUCUAUUGUCUCUGG